AUAAACAGCCAACUGCGUGUGUCGCGCUUCCAAGGCACGAGCGGGCCGAUCAUUCCUCCUGCAGUCAUCGUGUUGUGCGGUGCUGUCCGAAUCUGUUCCUUCGUUCUCAUCAAAAUGGCUGCCCUCAGUGAUGCUGUUCUCGAUGCGCUGGUAUUCGAGCAUCUGUCGAAGAAAGACAAAACUUUUGCCGCUGUAUUCCAGAAAAAGUUCAAAUCGCCCUCGUUGCCGAAAGGUGCACCGAAGCUAGAUGAAAUAGUUAAGCACUAUCAGUCCACGAAACAGAAGCUUUCGGCCAGCAGUAAGCAGCAGCCGGCUCAGGAUGACGAUGAAGACGAGGAAGAAGAGUCCGACGAGGAUGAGGAGGAGGAAACUCCGGCUCCAGCAGCAAAUGGCAAAGCGCUAAACGGCAAGAAGGCGGCAAAUGGCAAAGCCGCGGCCAAAAAAGCACAGGAAGAAUCGGAAGACGAGGACGAUGAAGAUGAGGACGAGGAUGACGAGGAUGACGAUGAAGCGCCGGCCCCAAAGGUUGGUGCAGGCGUGAAAGCCAAAUCGAAGGUGACACCCCUCGUUAAAAAACCACAGCAGGAAGAAUCUGAUGACGAGGAUGAGGAUGACGAUGAGGAUGAUGAUGAGGAUGAUGAAGAAGAGGCGCCUGCACCACCGAAGCAGCAAAAGUCAGCCAAAGUAGCUGGACAGAAACGUAAAGCACAGGACGAGGACGAAGAAGAGGAAGAUGAUGAAGAUGAGGAGGAGGAUGAGGAAGACGACGAGGAGGAGGUGGCACAAAAGCCAAAAGCAGCAGCGACAAAGAAAGCCAACAACGCCGACAAAGCGAAUCAGCAACAGAAGAAUGGAAAGGCCAUCGUUAAUGGAAAACCUAUGACGAAUGGGGUACCGGUUGUGAAUGGAAAUGCAACACAAUCGGGCAAGAUGGGAGCUACCGUGGCCAAGAAGGCAGAGUCGUCGGAUGAUAGCUCUGAUGAUAGUUCAGAGGAGGAUUCAAAACCAGCGGUUAAAAAACCUGCUCUAGCUGCCACGCCAAAUGCCAAGACUCCUCCAGUAAAGGCGGCGACCCCAGCAGCUGCAGCAAAGAAACAGCAGGAUGAAUCCAGCAGCGAGGAAGAUUCUUCUGAUGAUGAAGCACCGGCGAAGAAGCCAGCAGUAGCUGCGGCGAAAACCCCGGCGAAGACCCCUGCAAAGGCACCAGCUGCUGCGGCAAAGAAAGCAGAGUCGUCGGAAGAUAGCUCUGACGACAGCUCAGAGGAGGAUUCGAAACCAGCGGCUAAGAAACCGGCUCUAGCUGCUACGCCAAAUGCCAAGACUCCAGCAAAGAUGGCGACUCCAGUAGCAGCAGCAGCAAAGAAACAGCAGGAUGAAUCCAGCAGCGAGGAAGAUUCUUCUGAAGAUGAAGCACCGGCGAAGAAGCCAGCAGUAGCUGCGGCGAAAACCCCUGCAAAGUCAACGGCUGCUGCAGCAAAGAAAGCAGAGUCGUCGGAUGAUAGCUCUGACGACAGCUCAGAGGAGGAUUCAAAACCAGCGGCUAAGAAACCGGUUGUAGCUGCCACGCCAAAUGCCAAGACUCCAGUAAAGGCGGCGACCCCAGCAGCAGCAGCAAAGAAACAGCAAGAUGAAUCCAGCAGCGAGGAUGAUUCUUCUGAAGAUGAAGCACCGGCGAAGAAGCCAGCAGUAGCUGCGGCGAAAACCCCGGCGAAUACCCCUGCAAAGGCACCAGCUGCUGCAGCAAAGAAGGCAGAGUCGUCGGAUGAUAGCUCUGAUGAUAGCUCAGAAGAGGAUUCGAAACCAGCGGCUAAGAAACCGGCAGUAGCUGCGGCGAAAACCCCUGCAAAGGCACCGGCUGCUGCAGCAAAGAAAGCAGAGUCGUCGGAUGAUAGCUCUGACGACAGCUCAGAGGAGGAUUCAAAACCAGCGGCUAAGAAACCGGCUCUAGCUGCUACGCCAAAUGCCAAGACUCCAGCAAAGAUGGCGACUCCAGUAGCAGCAGCAGCAAAGAAACAGCAGGAUGAAUCCAGCAGCGAGGAAGAUUCUUCUGAAGAUGAAGCACCGGCGAAGAAGCCAGCAGUAGCUGCGGCGAAAACCCCUGCAAAGUCAACGGCUGCUGCAGCAAAGAAAGCAGAGUCGUCGGAUGAUAGCUCUGACGACAGCUCAGAGGAGGAUUCAAAACCAGCGGCUAAGAAACCGGUUGUAGCUGCCACGCCAAAUGCCAAGACUCCAGUAAAGGCGGCGACCCCAGCAGCAGCAGCAAAGAAACAGCAAGAUGAAUCCAGCAGCGAGGAUGAUUCUUCUGAAGAUGAAGCACCGGCGAAGAAGCCAGCAGUAGCUGCGGCGAAAACCCCGGCGAAUACCCCUGCAAAGGCACCAGCUGCUGCAGCAAAGAAGGCAGAGUCGUCGGAUGAUAGCUCUGAUGAUAGCUCAGAAGAGGAUUCGAAACCAGCGGCUAAGAAACCGGCAGUAGCUGCGGCGAAAACCCCUGCAAAGGCACCGGCUGCUGCAGCAAAGAAAGCAGAGUCGUCGGAUGAUAGCUCUGACGACAGCUCAGAGGAGGAUUCAAAACCAGCGGCUAAGAAACCGGUUGUAGCUGCCACGCCAAAUGCCAAGACUCCAGUAAAGGCGGCGACCCCAGCAGCAGCAGCAAAGAAACAGCAAGAUGAAUCCAGCAGCGAGGAUGAUUCUUCUGAAGAUGAAGCACCGGCGAAGAAGCCAGCAGUAGCUGCGGCGAAAACCCCGGCGAAGACCCCUGCAAAGGCUCCAGCUGCUGCGGCAAAGAAGGCAGAGUCGUCAGAAGAUAGCUCUGACGACAGCUCGGAGGAGGAUUCGAAACCAGCGGCUAAGAAACCAGCUCUAGCUGCCACGCCAAAUGCCAAGACUCCUCCAGUAAAGGCGGUGACCCCAGCAGCAGCAGCAAAGAAACAGCAAGAGGAAUCCAGCAGCGAGGAAGAUUCUUCUGAAGAUGAAACACCGGCGAAGAAGCCAGCAGUAGCUGCGGCGAAAACCCCGGCAAAGACCCCUGCAAAGUCACCGGCUGCUGCGGCAAAGAAAGCAGAGUCGUCGGAAGAUAGCUCUGAUGACAGCUCAGAGGAGGAUUCAAAACCAGCGGCUAAGAAACCGGUUGUAGCUGCCACGCCAAAUGCCAAGACUCCAGCAAAGAUGGCGACUCCAGUAGCAGCAGCAGCAAAGAAACAGCAGGAUGAAUCCAGCAGCGAGGAAGAUUCUUCUGAAGAUGAAGCACCGGCAAAGAAACCAGCAGUAGCUGUGGCGAAAACCCCGGCGAAAACUCCUGCAAAGGCACCAGCUGCUGCAGCAAAUAAGGCAGAGUCGUCGGAAGAUAGCUCUGAUGACAGCUCAGAGGAGGAUUCGAAACCAGCGGCUAAGAAACCGGUUGUAGCUGCCACGCCAAAUGCCAAGACUCCAGUAAAGGCGGCGACCCCAGCAGCAGCAGCAAAGAAACAGCAGGAUGAAUCCAGCAGCGAGGAAGAUUCUUCUGAAGAUGAAGCACCGGCAAAGAAACCUGCAGUAGCCGCGGCGAAAACCCCUGCAAAGUCACCGGCUGCUGCAGCAAAGAAGGCAGAGUCGUCGGAAGAUAGCUCUGACGACAGCUCAGAGGAGGAUUCGAAACCAGCGGCUAAGAAACCGGCUCUAGCUGCCACGCCAAAUGCCAAGAGACCGGCAAAGGUGGCGACUCCCGCAGCAGCAGCAAAGAAACAGCAGGAGGAAUCCAGCAGCGAGGAAGAUUCUUCUGAAGAUGAAGCACCAGCAAAGAAGCCAGCAGUAGCCGCGGCGAAAACCCCUGCAAAGGCGCCAGCAGCAACAGCAAAGAAAGCAGAGUCGUCGGAAGAUAGCUCUGAUGACAGCUCAGAGGAGGAUUCAAAACCUGCGGCUAAGAAACCGGCAGUAGCCGCGGCGAAAACCCCUGCAAAGUCACCGGCUACUGCAGCAAAGAAAGCAGAGUCGUCGGAAGAUAGCUCUGAUGACAGCUCAGAGGAGGAUUCGAAACCAGCUGCUAAGAAACCUGCUCUAGCUGCUACGCCAAAUGCCAAGACUCCAGCAAAGAUGGCGACUCCAGUAGCAGCAGCAGCAAAGAAACAGCAGGAUGAAUCCAGCAGCGAGGAAGAUUCUUCUGAAGAUGAAGCACCGGCGAAGAAGCCAGCUGCUCCUAAGAAUCCGGUAGCGGCAACCGCUAAACGGAAAGCAGAGUCGUCAGAUGAAUCAGACAGCUCGGACGAAGAACCACCAGCCGCAAAGAAAGCUGCGUUAUUAAAUUCCUCCACUCCGAAGGCUGCUGUAAAAGCAGCAAAGGAAGAAUCGUCUUCGGACUCAGAAUCGGAGGAAGAGGAGGAUACAGGUUCCGCAAAGGCGAAACAAUCAGCUAAUCAGGUGGGCCAGAAAAGAAAGAUGGAAGAACAGGAACAGAGCAAUCCACCAGCAAAGAAAGUGAACAACUACAGCAACUUUGUACGGGCCAGUGAUCAACAGGAAAGCCACGAAAACAACCAGUUUCAAACUCCACCACAAAAAACGCCACUCAGCAAACAGAAUGGUGGUGGAAGCGCUAGCAGCGGUUUCGGCAGCGGCCACAAAUCGUUCACCAACAGCGAUGAAGCGCGUGGCGUAAACCGAUUCCGACGCGUGCGCGAGGAAGAAAUCGAAAUUGACCAUCGGCUAAAGGAUAACUCGUACGAAGCUAAGCCACCAACCGCUGCAAGACCGCGGCCAACCAUACCAAACGAACGGCGCGGUGAGUGGAAAUGUAGCUCCUGCGAUGCAGUGAACUAUGCGGUGCGGCGACUCUGUGCAAACUGCAAGCUGGCACGCACGUCCUGGAAGUGUCACGAAUGUUACGAGCAGAACGUGGUGAACGAUCCGUUGCAGGAUGCUUGCCAAGUGUGUACAACUACCGCACCGUACGUCUCCGGACGGCAGCUGGACGAGCUGAAAGGACAGUGGAAGUGUCUGCUGUGUGAACGGUGGAACAAGGAGAGUUUUUCCACGUGUUUCUGUGCCAAGCACACUUUCGUAGAGAGUGUGAAAACCCGAAAACGCACGCGCGUUGCCUUUCCGGUGAAGCUGGGCGAUUGGCAUUGUGCCGAUUGUGGUAAUCAUAAUUUUGCCAAAAACUUGAAAUGCAAUCGGUGCUACGCCGUGAAACCGGUGACGGCGGACACACUCGCCACUGAGUAGCGGGCAGAACUCGGUACAGAAACACGCCGGUUGAUCGCCAAUUUUUUAUUUUAUGCAUUUCUCAAACUGCCAAAAUGGCUACGGCUCGUACGGUGAACGGGCAAACCAGAUCCUAAAGCACACCAAGGGCAAAUCGUUCCGUGCGGAAAAGACGAAAAAGAAGCGUUCCGGAUACACGGGAGGACUUAUCGAUACAUCGGUAAAUUCCAUCAAGUUCGAUGACUAGAGUGUUGCGAUCGCUGCCUGGGUUGGCGAGAGCUGCACACAGCAAGGAUUUUACCUAUAUAUGUAUAUGUUGCUGUUUAGGUUAAGCAAAGUUAUGAAAGCGGAAUAUAGCCGUUGCACGUGGCGUCACGAAAAAAAAAUAUCUCAAAUUGAGGUGCGUGCAGCAUCGCGAAGGUACCAAA